AACUUUCAAUCAAAGAGAAAACUGUUAAAGAAUAAAAAGUAUAAUGUUUCCAUAACUCACCUCAAAGUUGACCUUCUGAGCGCUGAAUUUAUUGACAUCCCUUACCAAACAUCAGGGGAAUGUAAUAAAUUUCCAUUACUCGGCUCCGUUUCUUCUCACCUUGAGCUGCCAUUCUGGACAAGUCUUUUGGCCAGCUUUUAGUGCACUGGGUAAUUCGGAGUGACUACGCCUCGCAGGCCACUUCAAGAUUACCAUAAGGCUUAUAAAUAAAUAAAGCCCACUACAACCGGCCACGAAAAAACGGAAACUUGUUCUGGCCUAAAGCACUUACAACGUUUCGUUUUUUUUUUUUGUUUUUCGAACAUUUUGAAAACAUUUCGAGUCGCGGCAUGUACGCGACGAAUAAAACAAACUGGAGCAGCGCAUUUAACGAGCGGCAACGAGUGUGGCAACGAGUUAAGGCUUCGCAAUGGGAAUGGCAGUAAUACUGACAUGUCAGUCGAAGUCGCCGCCGGAGAACGGCCACAUAAUUCACUCACCCAACGGAGGAUGCAUGCAAAGCAGGAGCAGAUUACAAGUGCAACGCAUUCCCAGGUUGCCCUACCGAUUUCAUCAAAAUGAUAAAGAAGCCGAAGCCGGCUUGACGGACUGCCUGACUGAAUGGCUGACUGGAUGACAGAGCCUACUGUUUGCUCUUUUGGCCACAAGAACGAAUGAACGAAGAACAACCAAACAGCCAGCGGCAACAAUCGAAAACAUUUAAGCACUUUGUGCUAUGCUCCACUUGAGUCGCGUUGCGUUUCACAUUCGAGUGCAAAAUCAACACACAAACCCAACAUUACUCAAGGUGCAGGCAAAAAUAAAAAUGAAACGAAAAACGAAAAACGAAAAGGAAAAAAACCAGAGGAAAAACACGAACAGUCGGCAGAGAUUUAAAUGCCUAUCGCGAAGACACAUCGACAAACCGCAUCUGCAUGGGCAGGGUCCACUUUUGGAGUCCAGAUGCAGGAGAUGAAGGAGAUGCAGAUCCACAUCCACUUGCGGGGCCGGUGGCACUUGUAUUGAUCUAAUCUAACCACGUCGGCGUAUGUACGCCUGUCUCCCGCGGUGGUCUCCUUAAUGAGUGGGCUGCCAUGGGUUAAGAAAGGAGUUGCCCAAGAUGAGAAUCUGCCCACGCAGCCGUUUAUUGAGAAAUUACCAAGUACAAAACGAGGUGUCAGUCAUUUUGAUUCUUUCAAUUCCAAUCUCCAAAUCGGUGCAUAGCUCUGACCAAGUUUGUGGCCUCAGUCUUUUGUUUGGCCUCAGCAUAUUUAUGAUGACAAAUAUGGUUUUUCCUUCGGAAUGGGUAUGGGUAUGGGCAUCGGUAUGGGGGAAAAGCAGAGACCAAUCGACACCUUUGGCAAACAAUGCCUUAAUGAAGUGCGUACCUGCCACAGAAAAGCCAAAGAGCUAAGAGCCCCGAGUUCUCUGGCCGGCAAAUGGAGUGUGUAAAUUGUAUGGUAAAAUAAAUACAUAAAAGAGCUCAAAUCCCGAUUUAUGCUGGCUUAAACGAGCCAACGUUCUAUAACUCAAAUUAAAAGCAAUUUAAAAUCCAAAUAGAAAGGAACACCAAUAUCCAAAAAGCAAAGCAAAGAACCGAAAAUGAACAUUCCACGCAAACGGGCCCAAGUCGAUGUCGAUUCAAGCCCAAGCCUGGCCAACAACAGCAUUCAGAUCAGUUUGCUCCAAAUUAAAAAAGUAUAAAACCAUAAAGACGACAAUAAUGACAGCCCGUUGAUGGUGACAACGACCAUGAUGACGAUGAUGAGGCUCUGGCGGUCGGGGGAAUGGUCUCUGGCGGCCGAUCGAGAAUGAGACUCCGGCUGGAGGGGAUUGGAAUUGCUGUCUCCAGAGUGACACAGGCAAAUGUCUUCUUUGUGCUGGCUUAAACGAAGACGAGGGCGGAUGCAAGAGUUUCAUUUUGGGGUAAG